UCAACAGGAAACCACUCUCUUCAAUGC
rnacentral:piRNA from 1 species